GUCGUGGUAGCUUUGGGGCUUCGAGUAACCCGUUAAAUAUGUGUUUAUGCAGCGCUGUUGAUUUUACGAUAUCGAGGAGCAGUCGGAAAGAGAUGCUUUUUGUGAAGUGGGACACAAGUUGGACUGACGUCGUCUGCUUACUCCAGUGUCGUCGGCAUCUGCUGCCAAAUGCCGUGAAAAGAUCUUACUCGGUUUACGCGUGACAUUUCUUGUAGUGGAUAGAGGGAAUUGAUUUAAGUCUGGACGACCAGUGCCACCAACAGUCGAGGCUACUUCCCCCACCGCACUUCUCGACCGAAAUGAUCGUAGCAAUUUCGGUCGAGGGGACGCAGUCUCGAUAUUCGGUGGCAUUGGUCGUUGUGAAGAAAACGAGGCUGACCAUCGUCUUGAGGAGGGAGAAAAAGAAGAAGACACGCGCAAGCUGGUGAAGAAGACACGCGCGAGCGCGUGCAUUGCACCACGCGGUCUCCGGGCUUUCAUCGUGGACGUCGUCAUGAAACGGGGGGUUUCCCGAGUCUCCAGAGGCCUGAAACCUUUGUCCAUCGUGCCUGAGUAAUCAUCGCAUUGGAGAAAGCGUGCACUGUCUUUGGAAGCCACUUUCGAAAAUAUGUGAUUUACAUACAGCGAAAGGUGCAUGAAAUUACAUAUGUGUGGAGAUCAUCCUGGUUGAAUAAGAUAUAAGGGGGCUCGCAUAAUGCUGCGGCAGCGAUCGGCAGAGAUUCGCGACAAAGUGUACUGGCGUGGUUCAUGGGACGGUAACCGU